CCUGCACCAGAGUUGUCAGGGGCUGGGCCUGUAGGCUCUUCUCUGUGCCCAUGCCAGUCCUGCAGAAACUGCUUGUCUUUCCUGAAAUGCUGCAAGAUGCUACAGUGGAUGUCUCUGCCGGCGUUGCCUGGUUGAAUUGCUUCUGCAGGAUAUGCUGAGCUCUUCUUCUCGCUAGUCUCUUCUGUUUACAUGUGGACAUUAACAGGAUCUGUAAUAUACAGUAAUCAGGAAUAGUUUGGAAGAAGACUUAAACUGCAAGCCAACACCUUACACAAUACAAGUAUUUGGGAUUCCUGGUGUCUCAAGACCUGUGACAGAUUCGCCUUUCAUUGUUGGACUGGCUUUCUGGAUGCGGAUCUGUUUGGAGGACAUGUAAAUCUCUUGACAUCUCCAGUGAUGGGUCAGAGCCUGCAGGGAGGAAAGACACAGCCAUAUGCUAUGAAACGGGAGCAGAAGCUGUGGCCAAAGCAGGAAGGGAGCACCUGUCCUGGCUCAGGGUGUCACUGGGGCCCCAGGCUGUACUUGUUGCACAAUGUUCAAAGCCUGCUCUGAAGAUAUGGCUAUCAGUUUCCGCAUUGCCUUUCCUGUGGUAGACACCAGUAGCCUGUGCAUGGACUCCACAAACAAGAGUGAUUUUUAACUCCUAAAGCCCUGCUGAGAAGAGAGGAUCUGAUACUCUUGUUUUGCAAUUGAAGAAUAUCAAGCAGUUUGGAUAUUACAUUUCUAAGAGCCUGAGAAUUUUAUUUUUCAGCCUACUUAACACUAAAACCAACAUCCAAGAACAGAUGCCAUUUGACUUUGCUUGAAGUUAUAAGUUUCAACAUUUUGGCAAGUCAGACCACAAGGCCUUAGGUUUGGCAUGCAGAAAAUGAGGAAUGAAUGACUUCUUGUGAUAAAUCCUCAGACUUGACAUCAUGCAGACACACUGUGGCAGAUGCAAGAGCAGAAUUCAGCUCCCCCAAGGCAGCAGUUGGGCUUUUCUCUUUCUCUGGUCCCCUGACUCAUCGAUUUCAUACUUUCCAGACUCUGCAACAAGUAAAGCAGAUGUACUUCAAACUUUACACAGUUCUACUGUUCAUGUCUGGAGUUGUUCUGCUGUUCUUGUUCAGCAAAACACAGUUGUUAUGGAAAGAUCACAAAAUGAAAAUGCCUAACCUGAAGCCAAACCUAGAUCUUACUUUUUAGACCUAUAGGUGAGGAUUCUCACCUAUCGGUAUUGACAAUCUGGAUUUCUGAUCUAAUUUCAAACUCAGGCUCUCUUGCUCAGAUCUAGAUAUCCCUUAUAUAAUAGCACAUAAAUAGUCUUAA